GCAUCCGUGGUUUAGUGGUAAAAUUAACGCUUGCCAUAGCAGCUCUGACCGUCUCAAGACCUCGGAGCCCUACAGCAACAUGUGUUAGCCCCGGGUUCGAUUCCCGGCGGAUGCA